CCAAGGCGGUUUUCCAUCCCGGGUUGGAGGACUUUUCGCCCCCAAUGGGAUUGGGCCCCGGCCCCAAAUUCUUCGGGAGGCACCAGUAGGGAUCUUCCCCAAUGGGCGCAAGCCUGAUGGAGCAACCCCGCGUGAGUGAAGAAGGGUUUCGGCUCGUAAAGCUCUGUUGUUAAAGAAGAACACGUAUGAGAGUAACUGUUCAUACGUUGACGGUAUUUACCCAGAAAGUCACGGCUAACUACGUGCCAGCAGCCGCGGUAAUACGUAGGUGGCAAGCGUUAUCCGGAUUUAUUGGGCGUAAAGAGAGUGCAGGCGGUUUUCUAAGUCUGAUGUGAAAGCCUUCGGCUUAACCGGAGAAGUGCAUCGGAAACUGGAUAACUUGAGUGCAGAAGAGGGUAGUGGAACUCCAUGUGUAGCGGUGGAAUGCGUAGAUAUAUGGAAGAACACCAGUGGCGAAGGCGGCUACCUGGUCUGCAACUGACGCUGAGACUCGAAAGCAUGGGUAGCGAACAGGAUUAGAUACCCUGGUAGUCCAUGCCGUAAACGAUGAGUGCUAGGUGUUGGAGGGUUUCCGCCCUUCAGUGCCGGAGCUAACGCAUUAAGCACUCCGCCUGGGGAGUACGACCGCAAGGUUGAAACUCAAAGGAAUUGACGGGGGCCCGCACAAGCGGUGGAGCAUGUGGUUUAAUUCGAAGCUACGCGAAGAACCUUACCAGGUCUUGACAUCUUGCGCCAACCCUAGAGAUAGGGCGUUUCCUUCGGGAACGCAAUGACAGGUGGUGCAUGGUCGUCGUCAGCUCGUGUCGUGAGAUGUUGGGUUAAGUCCCGCAACGAGCGCAACCCUUGUUACUAGUUGCCAGCAUUAAGUUGG
rnacentral:rRNA from 2 species